GACGAACGCUGGCGGCGUGCUUAACACAUGCAAGUCGAACGGAAAGGCCCUGCUUGCAGGGUCCUCGAGUGGCGAACGGGUGAGUAACACGUGGGUGAUCUGCCCUGCACUUCGGGAUAAGCCUGGGAAACUGGGUCUAAUACCGGAUAGGAGCCAUUUUUAGUGUGAUGGUUGGAAAGUUUUUUCGGUGUAGGAUGAGCUCGCGGCCUAUCAGCUUGUUGGUGGGGUAAUGGCCUACCAAGGCGGCGACGGGUAGCCGGCCUGAGAGGGUGGACGGCCACAUUGGGACUGAGAUACGGCCCAGACUUCUACGGGAGGCAGCAGUGGGGAAUAUUGCACAAUGGGCGCAAGCCUGAUGCAGCGACGCCGCGUGGGGGAUGACGGCCUUCGGGUUGUAAACUCCUUUCGCUAGGGACGAAGCUUUUUGUGACGGUACCUAGAGAAGAAGCACCGGCUAACUACGUG
rnacentral:rRNA from 1 species